rnacentral:rRNA from 1 species
CGGGUGAGUAAUACAUAGGUAAUUUGCCUUUGAGUUUGGGAUAACCUUCCGAAAGGAGGGCUAAUACCAAAUAAGACCACAGCUACUACGGUAGCAGGGGAAAAAGGUGACCUCUUCAUGAAAGUUAUCGCUUAUUGAUAAGCCUAUGCACCAUCAGAUUGUUGGUAGGGUAAAAGCCUACCAAAUCUUUGACGGUUAGCUGAUCUAAGAGGUUGAUCAGCCACACUGGAACUGAGACACGGUCCAGACUCCUACGGGAGGCAGCAGUAGGGAAUAUUGCGCAAUGGGGGAAACCCUGACGCAGCGACGCCGUGNGAGUGAUGAAGGCCUUCGGGUCGUAAAACUCUGUCAGAGGGGAAGAAAUACUCUAUGGCUAAUAUCCAUAGAAUUUGACGGUACCCUCAGAGGAAGCACCGGCUANCUACGUGCCAGCGGCCGCGGUAAUACGUAGGGUGCUAGCGUUGCUCGGAAUUAUUGGGCGUAAAGCGCGUGUAGGUUGUUUUGGAAGUCGGGUGUGAAAGCCCCGGGCUCAACCCGGGAAGUGCACUCGAAACUACAUGACUAGAGGAGAGUAGAGGAUGGGUGGGAAUUCCCGGUGUAGAGGUGAAAUUCGUAGAU